rnacentral:lncRNA from 1 species
UUUUUUAAUGUGAUGGUGGCAUUGGAUUCACCCUGUGGAGUGAAAAAAAACAAGAUCAACACUCUCUCCUUCAAAAUAUUAGUAAAGCAAUGAAAUUCUCAUUUUGAAGAAUUUUACAAGAAUGGCCAAAAUCUUUAUAGGUAAAAAUAUUUAUAAAAAUUGUAAUUAAACAUGGAUUGAAGCAUGUGGGUAGUAACUUUAGCAUAAAUAGGUGUUUUGAAUACAUUGGUGAAGUUAGAUUUACCAAAAAGUGUUUUCUUGAUCACUUAUAAGAACCAUUAGCCUUAGAAACAAAAUUAGCUCUUAGAUGAAUGAAGGCUAUAGAUCUAUGUUAUAGAUCUUAGAAAUCAAAGGUGAAAAUAUGGCCACCAUUCUUUAAAAAACAACAUUAAAAUUAAACUUUUUACUACCUUUCAAUCAUUUAUCCUUAUUUUUCUACUACAUCUUUCUACUAGACUUUUCUAUAAUAACAUCCAUAUUUUUAUUUUUCACUACAUAAUCAUAUUACAACACUAAAACAUCAAUCAAAUUGCUCAAACCUAGCUUCUUAGUAAUGUGCAAUGGAGUAAGAGCACAAAGAGCACAAAUGUAGUGACUGUGAGAUGUAGACCAACUUGACUAGAAGAAUAGCAAUGACAUGAUCUCAGUGAGACACACGACCCGAGUAGAUUGGGAGCAUCUACAGUUUCUCGCCGCUUGAAGCGACAUAGUUGUCGACCAUACUCCUUGACUUCACGAUCUCUCUAUCUAAUACUAAGCCGCUGCUCGAGCUAACACCGUCGACACUUCUACUUGCAUUGAUUUCAUCUGCCAAUUGAAAUCAAACAAGCAUUGAAGGACGCCUUUCAGAUCUCAUCUCAAUUGCACGACUCAGUCAAUCCUCCACCGCACCUCCUCGCAGUCAGAUAUCCACAAGAAACCAAUAGAACCACAAGAAGAACCCCCUGAUCACACUGGAUUUUGGGGCUCCAUAUUAAUCACACAAAGAACAAGGUGCUGCACCACAGCACCUCAACUGAACAAAGAGCAAAAUAAAAUGACCGCCGCCAUCGUGAUUUGAGUAAGAACAAUUAACCAGCACCGCAAUGGUUCGUAACAAAAAAACAAGAGCACGAAUGGAUCACAUGAGGAAUUUAGACGUCACAACGACUCAACCAUCAGUGGAACACCAAUAAGAAGGCUUGGGCCGCACUACUGCCGCUGUCCACGAUCGACCAAGAAAAUACAAUCUAGAUACAUCACUGAACCUCUGAGCUCCAUGUUGAUCACAAGAAGAAGAAGAAGAAGAAGAAGAACGCCUUCCGCACACCAUUCUGCCAUAAGAGGAAUCCGUGGUCUACACCGCAACCUCCAACAAAAAGAAACACAAGGAAAAAACCACUUCAAAUGGCCAACGGCCUUUGUUGUCAAACUACACCAAACAGGAGCUUACACUUAUCACCAAAAAACCAGGAUGCUGCACCGCAAUACCUCAAUUGAAUCAAAAACAACUCACAGCUACACACGCACGUCGAAAAAACUCAAAAGAAAAAACUCUAUCCCGAUCGGAACCAAAAUCCACACACAAAACACCACAAAAAACAAAGAAAGAGAGACGGGGAUCUGAGGCAGUCUAGACCCUUAUUGGCAAUGAGGCCCCAAGGUUCAAGGGGAGCCUCUCGCCUUUUCUUUCAUCUUUUCUUCUUCUCCUUUUCCUUGUCCUUUUUUCUUUUUUCCCCUUUUUUUUUUUUUUUUUUUUUUUUUUCUUCUCUACUCUUUUUUUC